GUCUACAGCCAUACCACCCUAAAUGUACUUGUUCUCAUGUGACCUAAGAAACUAAGCAGAGUCAGGCUUGGCUAAUAUUUGGAUGGGAGAAAUAGAUAAUUAGAUUAAAUGCAGUGUCCA
rnacentral:rRNA from 1 species